GUCGGGGCCGCUCGGGCCGGGACCGGGGCUGAGGACGGAGCCAUGAGCGCUCUGAGCGGUCGGGACGGGUGGAGGUAUCUGGACGUGGCCAGGGAGGCAAAGUCGAGCCGGGUCAGGUUGGGCCAAAAGAGGCCGCACAGCAGCAGCCUGUACCCCAGUACCUGCGACCUGGACUACAACCUCUACAGGGAUGACUUCCCAUACCGGGUGUAUGAGUACCAGAAGAUCCCACCCCUCAUUAACCGCAUCCCCGUCAAGGCCAGGAGAACGCAUGCAAGAGCAGGAGGCACAAGCAGCCCCAGCCCCCAGCACGGAGCGCGGAGCAGCACCAGCUCCACAGGGACACGGACGAAACUGAGAGCCGAGGAGCUGCAUUCCAUCAAGGGGGAGCUGAGCCAGAUCAAGGAGCGAGUGGACAGCCUGCUGGAGAGCCUGGAGCGCAUGGACCAGCGCAGGGAGCGGCUCUCGGGGUGCAAGGAGAGUGAGAAGAAGAAGGCAGAAGUGGGCUCAGCAUCACCAGCACCACUGGGAGAGGGCUCACGAGGCAAGGAGGGGAGCAGAGGGGAUGGGCGCAACAUGGACAGCACUGAGGAGAGCACAGACACGGAGGAGAUGAUGAAGGCCCACACCUCAGACCACGAGGGGAGCCAGUAGUGGGGAUGCCAGAGCCCCGCAGCUCGUGCCCCAUCUCUGCAUCCCUUUGGAGGCUCCCAGCAGGUGCCAGGCUGGUACCCAGGGCUUCCUGCACUCAUAUUCCCACCACCAGUGCCAGCAGCCCCGUGCCCUGCAUUGGCCAGCCGUGGUGAGAGAAGUCUUUGUGUUUGAGUGCACAUUGUUUUUUUUAUUCCUCUUGUUUUGCUAUGUAAGUACGUGGGGAGAGUGGGAGGGCAGAAGCUCCACAUCCCGAAGGAUCAUUAGCCCGGAGCUGCGAUCUGUGGUGUCCCUGAUCCUCCCCUCCCCAAUGGGUAAAGUAUCCCACUGACCCAGGGGUCACACCCAAGCCCUCCAUCCCAUGAGCACAACACAGGCCGGAUGCGCUCCCCAUGCAGAACAAAGCCUCAGUGCUGUCCCUCCUGGGGACACAGAUGGCCACACCUGAUACCACCAGCACAGGGCACCCAGCAGUGUGGCCCGGAGCCCAGCCCCCCCCCACCAGUGGGUUUCUCUUAAUGGUGUCCCUAAGGACUCCAUUCUUUGCCACCAUAGCAGGGAUCCCACCGGCCACCUCUGCCUGGGGAAGUUGUGCCUCCAUCCCUCUCCCUACAUGUCUGUGUCCCCCGUUUUGAGGUCGUCCUCCUCUUGCUGGUAGGAAGUUGUUCUGUAUUUCUAAUUUGCUCCGGCAAAAGAGUGUAUUGUGCUGGAAAGGAAAAAAAAAACAG
rnacentral:lncRNA from 1 species